rnacentral:rRNA from 1 species
UACAGAGGGGGCAAGCGUUGUUCGGAAUUACUGGGCGUAAAGGGCGCGUAGGCGGCCCGCUAAGUCGAACGUGAAAUCCCCCGGCUUAACCUGGGAACUGCGUCUGAUACUGGAGGGCUUGAGUGCGGGAGAGGGAUGUGGAAUUCCAGGUGUAGCGGUGAAAUGCGUAGAUAUCUGGAGGAACACCGGUGGCGAAGGCGGCAUCCUGGACCGACACUGACGCUGAGGCGCGAAAGCUAGGGUAGCAAACGGG